rnacentral:rRNA from 1 species
UACGUAGGGUGCAAGCGUUAAUCGGAAUUACUGGGCGUAAAGCGUGCGCAGGCGGUUUUGUAAGUCUGUCGUGAAAGCCCCGGGCUCAACCUGGGAAUUGCGAUGGAGACUGCAAGGCUUGAAUCUGGCAGAGGGGGGUAGAAUUCCACGUGUAGCAGUGAAAUGCGUAGAGAUGUGGAGGAACACCGAUGGCGAAGGCAGCCCCCUGGGUCAAGAUUGACGCUCAUGCACGAAAGCGUGGGGAGCAAGCAGG